UACGUAGGGUGCAAGCGUUGUCCGGAAUUACUGGGCGUAAAGAGUUCGUAGGCGGUUUGUCGCGUCGUUUGUGAAAACCAGCAGCUCAACUGCUGGCUUGCAGGCGAUACGGGCAGACUUGAGUACUGCAGGGGAGACUGGAAUUCCUGGUGUAGCGGUGAAAUGCGCAGAUAUCAGGAGGAACACCGGUGGCGAAGGCGGGUCUCUGGGCAGUAACUGACGCUGAGGAGCGAAAGCGUGGGGAGCGAACAG
rnacentral:rRNA from 1 species